rnacentral:rRNA from 1 species
CCUACGGGAGGCAGCAGUGGGGGAUAUUGCACAAUGGGGGGAACCCUGAAGCAGCGACGCCGCGUGGGUGAAGAAGCGCCUAGGCGCGUAAAGCCCUGUCAGCAGGGAAGAAAAUGACGGUACCUGAAGAAGAGGCCACAGCUAACUACGUGCAAGCAGCCGCGGUAAGACGUAGGGGGCAAGCGUUAUCCGGAUUUACUGGUGUGAAAGGGAGCGUAGGCGGGGACGCAAGUCUGGAGUGAAAGCCAGGGGCCCAACCCCGGGACUGCUCUGGAAACUGCGGCGCUGGAGUACGGGAGGGGCAGGCGGAAGUCCGGGUGUAGCGGUGAAAUGCGUAGAUAUCAGGAGGAACACCGGCGGCGAAGGCGGCCUGCUGGACCGUGACUGACGUUGAGGCUCGAGAGCGUGGGUAGCAAACAGGAUUAGAUACCCUAGUAGUC